ensembl:lncRNA
AUCUUUGUCCUUUUUCUCAUUUGUUUCCCGAGAUGCACCAAGGAUUGGGCUGAUUACUGGAAAUUUGGAAGAUUGUUCUUUAUCUGCUCUGUCACUUCUGGUAAAGAUUCAUCGACCUUUUGCGAAACAAGAAACAGAUGUCCAGGCGACCGGCCUCCAUUUACCAGAGCUCCCCUGGAGUAUAACUCAGUGCUUCUCCAGAACCCUGCCCAGCCUCUGGACACCAGGCCCAGGCCUCACCAUCCUUCUGCCAACGUGGGACUUGCGAGGCGAACUAGGAGACGGAAAGAUGGCAUGGGCAGCGAGCCAAGUCUGGUUUUAUCUUCAUAUUCUCCUGUUGAAGGUGGGAAAGUGCGAGCUGGACUCUGCCCAUCCCUCUGCUGUAAGUGGUCAUUAAAGAGCCGGCUGUCAGCGCUUUCUUCGAGGAGUAGUGGUGGAGGUGUCCUGUUCUUUGCACCAGCUACUCCACUCAACACCACGAGGUUCAAUUUAAUGGUGUCUCCUGGUUAGUACUGAUCCAUCUGUCACUGUGCUAGCGUGUUAGCUAUCAUCAGGCCUUGCAGCCCUAACUCAUCUCUGACAGUACUAAAUUUCAAGUUUGAAUUUCGGUCUUUGUGCAGAUAAGACAUGCAAGGAAAAUGAAGAGGGGAAGCAAACCUUUUUUAAUGUUGUAAUCCCCACAACUUGAUUAGUAAUAAAGAUACAGAAAAAGAGUUGGUUGACAGGUUGAUCCUGAUUUAGUCUCACUUAGGGCGCCACGGUUUGAUUGCUGUGGACUAAAUGUGAAGCAAAUUUGAAAUGUUUCAUAUAACAGGCCAGCAGAUUUCUGCAGAUAAAGCUUUGGAUUCACAGGAAAGACUCAUUGACUUCACAUGCGUGCAUGGCCCUCCAAUUGCCAUCAUUACAGUCAACAGCCUACAAGUACUCCAUGUAUUCAUGCGGGGAUGUGAGCGGCUUGUAUUUCUUGUAAAUCUAUUGUAGUUCGAGAACUGCAUCUGGUGUCUGAUCUGAUCCAAAUGUAUAAAUAAAGAAAUAAGGCUCUUACACGUCAUGUCCCAAUUAUGAUGAGGCAUUGUUUGAUUGCUAAGAUCAUAUUAUCUUUAGAGUUAAUGGCAAUGUAAUUUCAUACCCAUCAACUAUAACAUAACGUUCCAUUUCUUUUUCAUCUUUUAAUUCAAAUGCAUUGUUCCCACUCCA